AUUGAACGCUGGCGGAAUGCUUUACACAUGCAAGUCGAACGGCAGCACGGACUUCGGUCUGGUGGCGAGUGGCGAACGGGUGAGUAAUGUAUCGGAACGUGCCCAGUCGUGGGGGAUAACGUAGUGAAAAUUACGCUAAUACCGCAUACGAUCUAUGGAUGAAAGCGGGGGAUCGCAGGACCUCGCGCGAUUGGAGCGGCCGAUAUCAGAUUAGGUAGUUGGUGGGGUAAAGGCCCACCAAGCCAACGAUCUGUAGCUGGUCUGAGAGGACGACCAGCCACACUGGAACUGAGACAUGGUCCAGACUCCUACGGGAGGCAGCAGUGGGGAAUUUUGGACAAUGGGCGAAAGCCUGAUCCAGCCAUUCCGCGUGCAGGAUGAAGGCCCUCGGGUUGUAAACUGCUUUUGUACAGAACGAAAAGGUUUCUACUAAUACCAGGAGCUCAUGACGGUACUGUAAGAAUAAGCACCGGCUAACUACGUGCCAGCAGCCGCGGUAA
rnacentral:rRNA from 1 species